UCUGCCUUAUCGGCAAGCGGUCCCAUUAGAGUGCCCAACUUAAUGCUGGCAACUAAUGGCAAGGGUUGCGCUCGUUGCGGGACUUAACCCAACAUCUCACGACACGAGCUGACGACAGCCAUGCAGCACCUGUCUCCUAGUCUCCUUGCGGAGAACCCCUACUUUCAUAGGGUAGCCAGGGAUGUCAAGCCCAGGUAAGGUUUUUCGCGUUGCAUCGAAUUGAACCACAUACUCCACCGCUUGUGCGGGCCCCCGCCAAUUCCUUUGAGUUUUAACCUUGCGGCCGUAAUUCCCAGGCGGGACACUUAACGCGUUAGCUACGACACCGAGAGGGUAGUUUCUCCCGACAUCUAGUGUCCAUCGUUUACAGCGUGGACUAC
rnacentral:misc_RNA from 1 species